UACGAAGGGUGCAAGCGUUACUCGGAAUUACUGGGCGUAAAGCGUGCGUAGGCGGUUUGUUAAGUCUGUCGUGAAAGCCCCGGGCUCAACCUGGGAAUGGCGAUGGAUACUGGCAAGCUAGAGUGUGUCAGAGGAUGGUGGAAUUCCCGGUGUAGCGGUGAAAUGCGUAGAGAUCGGGAGGAACACCAGUGGCGAAGGCGGCCAUCUGGGACAACACUGACGCUGAGGCACGAAAGCGUGGGGAGCAAAC
rnacentral:rRNA from 1 species